AAUAAAUGUAGCCGUGGAAAUCCGUAUCCAACGUUUGACCGUUCGUCUUAUUUAAAAAUUUUAUGAAAUUUUUUUAAAAAAUUAGUCACACAUAAAGUACUAUUCAUGCUUUAUCAUCUAAUAACAAUAAAAUUAGUAAUAAAAAAAUUAAAUAAGACGAACGGUCAAACGUUGAAGAUGAAUAUUGCAAAACUGCACUUAUU
rfam:Oryza glaberrima chromosome 6 Oglab06_0220_10, whole genome shotgun sequence.